rnacentral:rRNA from 1 species
UAGGGAAACUUCGGCAAUGGACGGAAGUCUGACCGAGCAACGCCGCGUGAGUGAAGAAGGUUCUUGGAUCGUAAAGCUCUGUUGUUAGAGAAGAACGUUGGCAGGAGUGGAAAAUCUACCAAGUGACGGUAACUAACCAGAAAGGGACGGCUAACUACGUGCCAGCAGCCGCGGUAAUACGUAGGUCCCGAGCGUUGUCCGGAUUUAUUGGGCGUAAAGCGAGCGCAGGCGGUUCUUUAAGUCUGAAGUUAAAGGCAGUGGCUUAACCAUUGUACGCUUUGGAAACUGGAGGACUUGAGUGCAGAAGGGGAGAGUGAAAUUCCAUGUGUAGCGGUGAAAUGCGUAGAUAUAUGGAGGAACACCGGUGGCGAAAGCGGCUCUCUGGUCUGUAACUGACGCUGAGGCUCGAAAGCGUGGGGAGCAAACAGG